AUGAACGCUAGCUACAGGCUUAACACAUGCAAGUCGAGGGGCAGCUAUGGUCGAAGCUUGCUUCGACUGAUGGCGACCGGCGCACGGGUGCGUAACGCGUAUCGAACCUGCCCUGUACACGGGGAUAGCCUUGCGAAAGUAAGAUUAAUACCCGAUGCCAAGUUGAGAUCGCAUGAUUUUGAUUUGAAAGAAAUUCCGGUAUAGGAUGGCGAUGCGUCUGAUUAGGUAGAUGGCGGGGUAACGGCCCACCAUGCCGACGAUCAGUAGGGGUUCUGAGAGGAAGGUCCCCCACAUUGGAACUGAGACACGGUCCAAACUCCUACGGGAGGCAGCAGUGAGGAAUAUUGGUCAAUGGUCGCGAGACUGAACCAGCCAAGUAGCGUGCAGGAUGACGGCCCUCUGGGUUGUAAACUGCUUUUAGUUGGGAAUAAAAGGCGGUACGUGUACCGCGUAUUGUAUGUACCAUCAGAAAAAGGACCGGCUAAUUCCGUG
rnacentral:rRNA from 1 species